AUUGAACGCUGGCGGCAGGCUUAACACAUGCAAGUCGAGCGGGGGAAGGUAGCUUGCUACUGGACCUAGCGGCGGACGGGUGAGUAAUGCUUAGGAAUCUGCCUAUUAGUGGGGGACAACAACUCGAAAGGGAUGCUAAUACCGCAUACGUCCUACGGGAGAAAGCAGGGGAUCGUCGGACCUUGCGCUAAUAGAUGAGCCUAAGUCGGAUUAGCGAGUUGGUGGGGUAAAGGCCUACCAAGGCGACGAUCUGUAGCGGGUCUGAGAGGAUGAUCCGCCACACUGGGACUGAGACACGGCCCAGACUCCUACGGGAGGCAGCAGUGGGGAAUAUUGGACAAUGGGGGGGACCCUGAUCCAGCCAUGCCGCGUGUGUGAAGAAGGCCUUAUGGUUGUAAAGCACUUUAAGCGAGGAGGAGGCUACUUUAGUUAAUACCUAGAGAUAGUGGACGUUACUCGCAGAAUAAGCACCGGCUAACUCUGUGCCAGCCGCCGCCGUAA
rnacentral:rRNA from 1 species